rnacentral:rRNA from 1 species
UUUGUCAGUAGUAGAGCCGCCGGAGGAGUACGAGCGAAAGCUUAAAAUUCUAAGGACCUGGCAGUUGGCUAUACCUUACCAGGGGAACAUGUGACUUAAUUCGAUAACCCACGAUUUACCCUACCUUGUCUUGUAAGUUGCUCUGUUGAGGGAGCGGUCCCGAUGGCGGGCAUAGCUGGCCAUUCCGCCCGCAUAACUCGGAGCACAGUCAGCUGUUAUACCGCCGUUGGCACCCCUCGGCUCGAGUCCGCCUUAGGCGUAAGAAGGGGGGGAACAGGUGCAUUCCAGACAAUUCUAAGUAUAGUGCUGGUGGGCCUUGAAGACAGGUCCAGGUAACGCCUAUGACAAGGGGUCCAUGUGUUACAUUCCUUAUUUAGGUAUGCGGAUCUUACAGGCAGGAAG